UACGUAGGGUGCAAGCGUUAAUCGGAAUUACUGGGCGUAAAGCGUGCGCAGGCGGUUAUGCAAGACAGAGGUGAAAUCCCCGGGCUCAACCUGGGAACUGCCUUUGUGACUGCAUAGCUAGAGUACGGUAGAGGGGGAUGGAAUUCCGCGUGUAGCAGUGAAAUGCGUAGAUAUGCGGAGGAACACCGAUGGCGAAGGCAAUCCCCUGGACCUGUACUGACGCUCAUGCACGAAAGGCGUGGGGAGCAAACG
rnacentral:rRNA from 1 species